UUCGCCCUUGUGCCAGCCGCCGCGGUCAUACGGAGGAUCCGAGCGUUAUCCGGAUUUAUUGGGUUUAAAGGGUGCGCAGGCGGCAUGUUAAGUCGGCGGUGAAAUUUUGCAGCUCAACUGUAAAAGAGCCUUCGAAACUGGCAAGCUUGAGUGUGGAUGAAGUAGGCGGAAUUUGUGGUGUAGCGGUGAAAUGCAUAGAUAUCACAAAGAACACCGAUUGCGCAGGCAGCUUACUAAACCAUAACUGACGCUCAUGCACGAAGGCGUGGGGAUCAAACAGGAUUAGAUACCCUGGUAGUCCACGCAGUAAACGAUGAUUACUGGCUGUUUGCGAUACAAUGUAAGCGGCUGAGCGAAAGCGUUAAGUAAUCCACCUGGGGAGUACGUUCGCAAGAAUGAAACUCAAAGGAAUUGACGGGGGCCCGCACAAGCGGAGGAACAUGUGGUUUAAUUCGAUGAUACGCGAGGAACCUUACCCGGGCUUGAAAUGCAUCUGACGUAUUCGGAAACGGAUAUUCCCUACGGGGCAGAUGUGUAGGUGCUGCAUGGUUGUCGUCAGCUCGUGCCGUGAGGUGUCGGCUUAAGUGCCAUAACGAGCGCAACCCUCAUCGUCAGUUACCAUCAGGUAAAGCUGGGGACUCUGGCGAGACUGCCAUCGUAAGAUGCGAGGAAGGUGGGGAUGACGUCAAAUCAGCACGGCCCUUACGUCCGGGGCGACACACGUGUUACAAUGGGUGGUACAAAGGGCAGCUACCUGGCGACAGGAUGCUAAUCUCCAAAACCACUCUCAGUUCGGAUCGGAGUCUGCAACUCGACUCCGUGAAGCGGAUUCGCUAGUAAUCGCGCAUCAGCAACGGCGCGGUGAAUACGUUCCCGGGC
rnacentral:rRNA from 1 species